rnacentral:rRNA from 1 species
AUAGCGUAUAUUAAAGUUGUUGCGGUUAAAAAGCUCGUAGUUGGAUCUCAGUUCGUGCCUAUCGGUCCUCCUCUGAAAGGUGGCCACUGGUAGUUGCCGGACAGCUUAUCGAUUAGCGUUUUCCCGAGAGGGGGCGCUCGUAAGGUCUCAUGGUGCUCUUUACCGGGUGUCAUGAGCGAUCGAUACGUUUACUUUGAAAAAAUUAGAGUGCUCAAAGCAGGCGUAGCUUAACGCAUACGUCCGAAUAAUGUUGCAUGGAAUAAUGGAAUAGGACCUCGGUUCUAUUUUGUUGGUCUUAAGAAUCUGAGGUAAUGAUUAAGAGGGACAGACGGGGACAUUCGUAUUGCGGCGCUAGAGGUGAAAUUCUUGGACCGUCGCAAGACGAACUAAGG